UGGCGUGUUUUGCAAGUAUUGCAGUCCAUCCAACUCUUCUUGCAAUUCUGUUAGCUGUUUUUUCUGCUUGAUUCAAUUUUGCUAUUUUUCUGGCCGCUAGUCGUUGUGCUUUCAAUUCUUGAGCAUAAAUCUUUCUUUUUCUUUUUUAGGGUUUUGAGCUACUUUAAUACUGAGGCCAAUUCUUUUUGUGCCGCACCAAGUAAAUCAUUUCUUGUGCUUGUUUCUAGUUGUGCUUGGUUUGUUGUCUCCGCCUCGGCUCUUUUUUCUCACUUCUUGUUCGUAGGUUAGCCUCAACUCUUUUUAAUUUCUCUAGGGUGUCUGUAUCGUCUUGAUCAGUAGGGACAAGUCUUCUCUCUUGCUCUCUGUCACCCUCAGUAGUUUCCUGCAAUGUAGUCUUCUUCUUCUUUGGUUGUGGCAUCGUGGGUUGUUUUGUGGCUGAGAAUAUGGUGGGCACCCUGUUGGUCUUAAAGGAACUUGAUACCAAACAGACUUGUGAGUGAAAAGAGAUUACACUAGAAAGUUCUAACAACCAAUUGGUCUCCCUUUACAACGGGAUAGGGCUCCCCUUUUACAGUGACCCAUGAGCCACUUUACAUUCCGAAAAUAUCCUUCCUAAACUAAUACAUUCCUAGGAUAUGCCAUACAAAAAGGUCAUUGGGGGUAACUCGUACAAUUCGAAUUCCUCCACGUGAUCAAAUUUCUCACGCCUCCAUCCUUCUAACCUCGAGACAUUACCUUCGCGCCAGACCAAACCUCCAGCCUCAUGUCUUCACCCUCGGCCUGAGACAGAUGUCCAACCUCGUGAUGCCUGAUUCGUCAUGCCACUCCAAGAACUUGUGACCUCGCGAUGUCUCCCUUCAAGUGUCGUUCCUGAGUAAAGAGUAAAAAGGUGAAAACUUGGUGCUUGAGACUGACUUCAAGCACUCGAGGGUUAGCUCAAUUGAAGUUUAGUCAUCAGCUUACAGUUGUCAGCUUGGAGUCCCUAAAGUAACAAAGAAGAUGCAAGGGUAUGAGUUUUACUAUCAGAAUAGUUUCCGUAACAUGUUGUGAGGUUAACUAAGUUUUAUUCUUUAGUAAGAACAUGCGAGGUUAGAGUUUUUACCCACGAACAAUGCUCGAGAGUGUUUAGUUUUUUACCAAUCCCCAACAUUUUGCUUCUUAAGUACUUCCAU
rnacentral:lncRNA from 1 species